GUCGCCCACUGGACCCCACAGGUAUCAAUACAAGCAAUAAUGUGUGAGUCUGUCUGUCAGUGUGAGUGUAUGGGUCUGUCAUGGUUUGUGUGUGUGAGUGUAUGGGUUUGUCAUGGUGUGUGUCAGUCAUGGUGUGUGUGUGUGUGUGUGUGUGUGUGUGUGUGUCUGUCUGUGUUAUGGUGUGUUUGUGUCUGAUGAGGAAAAAUAGAAGAGAAAUCCAGGAACUCUCAAGAUACAAAAAGGCAAAUGUAUUGAACCCACUGCAACAUGGUGUGUGUCUGUCUGUCAUGGUGUGUGUUUCAGUCAUGGUAUGUGUGUGUCAGUCAUGGUGUGUGUCUGUGUCAUGGUGUGUGUGUGUCUGAUGAGGAAACAUAGAAGAGAAGUUCAGGCAAUCUCAGGAUACAAAAAGGCAAAUUUAUUGAACCCACUGCAACGUUUCGACCUACACGGUCUUUGUCAAGCUUGACAAAGACUGUGUAGGUUGAAACGUUGCAGUGCGUUCAAUAAAUGUUCAGUUUUGUAACCUGAGAGUGCCUGGACUUCUCUUCUGUUUUUCCUCAUCAAUACUUGGUUCCUGGUACUGGUACUGGUCUGGUGCACCCAAAUAAAUUUCAGAUGGGUUUGAGUGCAGUUCCACAUUCCUGCUAUAUUAUAUUCGGUGUGUGUGUGUCAUGGUGUGUAUGUGUGUUUGUAUGUAUUGUCUGUCAUAUGCGUGUGUCUGUCAUGGUAUAUGUGUGUGUGUGUGUGCCUGUCAUGGUAUGUGUGUGUUUAGGGUACCAGACCCCUUCCAUUCACAAGGGAAUGGUGUUUUUACUCACCUUUUUUUCCCCAUACCGUGCUGGUCUCCCCUCGACUGGCCCUGCCUCUAUGAUCAUCAAGCUUUGUUUUGUCAUAGGAUUGACUGCUAAACGCUGCACCAAUCAGCAUCUCCUCAUAGAUGCUCCAUGAGGAACGUUCAGUUCCUCCUUGAAGAGCGUGGAGACACUGAAUGUAGGUGAUGCACACUGUGCAGCACUGACACAGGAAGCACCUCUAGUGACCAUCUGAGUGACUCUCACUUGAGGUGUCACUAGGAAGCAAUGUAAGCACUGCCUUUUCUCAUAAAGCUGCAGUGGUCCUGGU